UUUGGCAAACAUUUUUCCCUUACAUUGUCUCAUUUAGGGUUUCGCUUCGAACCGCCGCAGUUGAGUGUUAAGGAAGCUAUCGCAAGCAUGUGUUUAUCGACCUACGUUUGUUUUGUAGAACAUUGGUAUCUACAUUUGCUCGAAUAGAAGUCUAAUACUCCUAGUGUAUACUAACCCGUGUAAAACCGACCUGAGCCCACGGUUACUAUAUUCAUUCUAAUGGUAUCACUGACAUGGUCAUACACAUACUAGAAUGAAUACAAUGUACCCCCCAUGUUCCGUGUAUUCCGAUUGCUAUCAGUUAUUAAAAAAGUAUAUUGCAGUGAAAUCAAGCAAGAACGCUAUAGGUGAGGGCCGCGACUAUUAUACACCCAUUACUCAGCUCAAGGAAGUGCGAAAUAUAUGGAGAUAAGUUAGCAACAAGCAAGUCCUGUACCAUGCACACAUUGAAUGCAAGCUAGUAGUAAAGAUACUGCUUUAUAGUGUUCAUGCGCACUAACAUCACUUGCUAAUAUUUUUCAGUGAACUUUAACAGUUAACUUUUAACAACCUAAUGAUCUGCUUUCAACAACGUUGGUAAUUCCAUUCAAACUUUCCAAAUACAUACAUCAAUCAAGUGAGCACAAUCAAAUAAGAACGGGCGUAAGAGGGGCUCGACAGUCUACUGAACCAAUUAUGGGUGCCGAAGUUCAUACGGAUCGAAUAGGUUAUUAAUCCUAAUCAACAAUACGCUUCCUCUAGCUGAAACAUACACUUCUUUAAGAAUAUAGCGUACCCUACUCCCAUCAGUAACGGGAAUCGACAAAAUAUAUAGCGCGGCAUGUUUACUACAACAACAAAUACUCACCCCAAUACGAACGUAAUGAGAUGCGGCAACUCAAUAACAGUGCAAUCGCUGUUUCUUUUUGUUUAUACAUUUUUGUAUUGAUUAUGUGAUUGCUAAU